AUAUUUGCAUUCUUGAUUGAGCAUUUUUUUUAACGAGGAAAUAUUUUACUUUGCACUUCCUAAAUGUGAAAUGGUCAGUAUAUGAAAAUUUCUUACUUAGGUUGUGUUAAUAUUGGCAAGGAAGUUCCAUGGUGUUGCUAUAUGUAACACUUAAUAUUAUUUUGACGAGUUGUUAUUAAAUAUAGUAUAUAAUUAAGUUUUGGGUUUCCAACCUUUUGUAUUUAUCUAAGAAUAUUUAGUAGUUGAGGAAUCAUUUUAUUUCAUAUCUAUCCGUAAGCUCCCUAUUCUUCUACUCUUCCGAAACAAAAAAAGAAGAAGAAAUAUCUACUUCUCUCUUUCUAUCUCUAUCUUUCUACUCUAUCUCUCUAUCUCUAUCUCUCUCUAUCUUUCUCCUCUGUAAGAACAAGAAGCUGAAGGUUCAUAAAAAAAAACUCAUGGAUUUCUACUAAAUCAACACACAAAAUUCGUUUUUGGUGAAGAUCAAGUUGCUCCUCUUGGUAUAUAAACCCUUGAAAAAAAAAUCAAAGGGGAAGUGUUUGAGGAAGUGGACAGAUUUGGUUUGUUUACGGCGUAGACGAUUCGAACGUCCCCAAGUUGUGAUUGAACUGUUUUAUGGUAAAACACCAAGGUUUGUGUAUAAACUUGUACUCUUUUUGCUUGCUGGAAAUAUGUUGAAAUAACCUGAUAUUUUGUUUUUAUUGUCUUCAAUUUAUAUUGUUAUAUUCGUAUUAUAUUAAGUCUUGUCAGAAAUUUGCUAAAUCGCCCAUUCGUACGGAUUGUUUGAUCAUUUUGCAUUCUUGUUGGGACUUUGUCCUUCUUGUGGCAGUGAUUUGGUCACUCACUUGGCAUGCCUCUUGAUUCGGAUCUUUUGCCAUCUUGACUUUGGAUUUGUAGUUCGUCUUGGAUUAUGGAACUUGUCCGUGUUAAGUACGAACUAGGAAGCCAUUUUUAAUAUGGUUCUUGAUUCUCUUGUCUAUUGGGUUUUGACCCUACUUGAUUUGGGGCUUCGGUCCAUCUUGAUAUCUGAUUAUGCUUAGUGUGAUGGCAUGACGUACAUAUUGGGCGAAAAAUGGAUAUUUGGUAUACUUCCUUAAAUUGAUAGUAUACACUUUCUAGACUCUUGAACAUUGUUAUUGAUAUUUGGAAACACUUCAAAGUUUGAUAUUGGUAUGUUUGAUAUAUUUGUUCACUUGUUUUAAAUUAUGUUAAAUUGAGCUAACUAUGACUGAAAAGGGGAAUUGGAGAAUUUAAUGACUCCAAGCCUAAAGUUUAUACACCACUAAGCUUUAUGCUUAGCGAUAGUUGUUUUCUAUCGUAGGAAAUGUUCGGGAUGAAAUCUGAAGAUGGCCAGGGUGAAUUAGUCUUUUGGAAGAACUUAUGAAGAUCACAUUUGCAUAUGCACCUUGGUUUUGCAUAGUUUUGGGACGUAUACAUGAUGUACAGGAUAUACAGAAUAUAUACAUAUAUAUAUAUAUAUAUGUCACACUUAUGUUAUUUGGAGGCUUGUUGGGUUUUAAAGACCAAAAAAAUCUUGUAACUUGAAUUUGUAACUUACUUUAUUGUAUUAGGGUAUUUUAAUGACUCAGGUCUUGUAAUAUGCUGAAUUUACACUUUGUCUUGUAAAUAUGUAGAAAAGGAGAAAACUAGUUUCCCUUUCUUUAUACCCGAUAGUUUAAAAUUUAUGUAUAAUACAAACUUGCAGUGAUUUUGAAUGAGUGUAUAAAUUUGUUAGAAAGUUGUUUUAAA